UGGGAGAUCUGGAACGGAUAAAAUGGAAGGCUCUCUGUAUGCUAAGUCAAAGGUCGAGGAAUCUUUGAAAGAUGACUAUGCUGGAACCUUUUCUGAAAAGACACCAUGCAAUGAGCAAGCAGGGGGGCAGGUAUUGAAACGAAGCAGUUCAACAUUGUACAGUGAUUUUCGAUCUACUUG